GUGGUGAAUCUUCCGCAAUGGACGAAAGUCUGACGGAGCAACGCCGCGUGAGUGAAGAAGGUUUUCGGAUCGUAAAGCUCUUUCGUUAGGGACGAACGUGCUCUUUGUGAAUAAUGAGGAGUAAUGACGGUACCUAAAUAAGAAGCCACGGCUAACUACGUGCCAGCAGCCGCGGUAAUACGUAGGUGGCAAGCGUUGUCCGGAAUUAUUGGGCGUAAAGCGCGCGCAGGCGGGAUAUCAAGUCUGUCUUAAAAGUGCGAGGCUCAACCUCGUGAGGGGACAGAAACUGGUAUUCUUGAGUGUCGGAGAGGAAAGUGGAAUUCCAAGUGUAGCGGUGAAAUGCGUAGAGAUUUGGAAGAACACCAGUGGCGAAGGCGACUUUCUGGACGAUGUCUGACGCUGAGGCGCGAAAGCUAGGGGAGCGAACGGGAUUAGAUACCCCGGUAGUCC
rnacentral:rRNA from 1 species